GGCUCUUUGAUUAGAUAAAGAGUUUGAUCUGCCCGGUGAUGAAAGUUUAACGGCUGCGGUAUCCUGCCGUGCGAAGGUAGCAUAAUAAUUUGUCUUAUAAUUGAAGAAUGGAAUGAAUGAUUUGACUAGGAUAUAGCUGUCUUUUAUAUAUUUAUUAUAAGUUGACUUUUAGGUUAAAAGGCCUAAAUAAAAUUAAAGGACGAGAAGACCCUGUUGUGCUUUAUAAUGGGUGUGUUAAAGAUUAUAUAUAUUGAAAAAAUAAUAAGAUUAAUGCUGAGUUUUUAGUUGGGGCGACUUAGGAACAAUAAAAACUUCCUGUAGAAUAAGUAAAUGUUGUUUAUUAAUCCAAGAAUUUUGAAUUAAGAAUAAGUUACCACAGGGAUAACAGCGUUAUUUUUUUGGAGAGUUCUAAUCGAGAAAAAAGUUUGCGACCUCGAUGUUGGAUUAGGAGAUAAUAAGGGUUGUAGGGGCUCUUAUGUUUAGUCUGUUCGACUAUUAAAAUCCUACGUGAUCUGAGUU
rnacentral:rRNA from 1 species